rnacentral:rRNA from 1 species
CUGACCGAUAGUGAACCAGUACCGUGAGGGAAAGGCGAAAAGAACCCCGGCGAGGGGAGUGAAAAAGAACCUGAAACCGUGUACGUACAAGCAGUGGGAGCACCCUUUGGGGUGUGACUGCGUACCUUUUGUAUAAUGGGUCAGCGACUUAUAUUCUGUAGCAAGGUUAACCGAAUAGGGGAGCCGGAGGGAAACCGAGUCUUAACCGGGCGUUAAGUUGCAGGGUAUAGACCCGAAACCCGGUGAUCUAGCCAUGGGCAGGUUGAAGGUUGGGUAACACUAACUGGAGGACCGAACCGACUAAUGUUGAAAAAUUAGCGGAUGACCUGUGGCUGGGGGUGAAAGGCCAAUCAAACCGGGAGAUAGCUGGUUCUCCCCGAAAGCUAUUUAGGUAGCGCCUCGUGAAUUCAUCUCCGGGGGUAGAGCACUGUUUCGGCUAGGGGGCCAUCCCGGCUUACCAACCCGAUGCAAACUGCGAAUACCGGAGAAUGUUAUCACGGGAGACACACGGCGGGUGCUAACGUCCGUCGUGAAGAGGGAAACAACCCAGACCGCCAGCUAAGGUCCCAAAGUCAUGGUUAAGUGGGAAACGAUGUGGGAAGGCCCAGACAGCCAGGAUGUUGGCUUAGAAGCAGCCAUCAUUUAAAGAAAGCGUAAUAGCUCACUGGUCGAGUCGGCCUGCGCGGAAGAUGUAACGGGGCUAAACCAUGCACCGAAGCUGCGGCAGCGACGCUGAUGCGUUGUUGGGUAGGGGAGCGUUCUGUAAGCCUGCGAAGGUGGCCUGUGAGGGUUGCUGGAGGUAUCAGAAGUGCGAAUGCUGACAUAAGUAACGAUAAAGCGGGUGAAAAGCCCGCUCGCCGGAAGACCAAGGGUUCCUGUCCAACGUUAAUCGGGGCAGGGUGAGUCGACCCCUAAGGCGAGGCCGAAAGGCGUAGUCGAUGGGAAACGGGUUAAUAUUCCCGUACUUGGUGUUACUGCGAAGGGGGGACGGAGAAGGCUAUGUUGGCCGGGCGACGGUUGUCCCGGUUUAAGCGUGUAGGUGUGUGUUCCAGGUAAAUCCGGUU